UAGAGUUGGAGACAAACAGAAAAACUGGCUCAGAAUCGAGUCUUUUCUGCGCUCUAUCCAGCUGUGACAUAGGCCAGGGCUUCUGGAGAAGCCAUGGGGCUGGGAGGAGCCUCAGAGCUCAUUUCCUGUGGCUGCUGUAAGAGUACAACAGGCUGGGUGUUGAAAGCAACAGAAAAUGGUUUCCUCACAGUCUGGAAGGACAGAACUUCAAAAGCAACCGCUGGACAGGGGCCAAAUUACUCUCAACGGAACAGCACCAAGUCAAGAAAAUGGACAUCAAGUGGCAUAUGAUGGAUAUGCUAGAGACUGCUGAUGAAUGGAAAUGUAGUAUGGGCUGACAGCCAGGCUGUGGAAUCCAGAAGCAAGUCCACCAGUUGUUUCAAACACUGCUGCCUCUGUCU